rnacentral:rRNA from 1 species
UGGCGGCAGGCCUAACACAUGCAAGUCGAGCGCACUCUUCGGAGUGAGCGGCGGACGGGUUAGUAACGCGUGGGAAUAUACCCGGUACUAAGGAAUAGCCACUGGAAACGGUGAGUAAUACCUUAUACGCCCUUCGGGGGAAAGAUUUAUCGGUAUCGGAUUAGCCCGCGUUAGAUUAGUUAGUUGGUGGGGUAACGGCCUACCAAGACGACGAUCUAUAGCUGGUUUGAGAGGAUGAUCAGCAACACUGGGACUGAGACACGGCCCAGACUCCUACGGGAGGCAGCAGUGGGGAAUCUUAGACAAUGGGCGCAAGCCUGAUCUAACCAUGCCGCGUGAGUGAUGAAGGCCUUAGGGUCGUAAAGCUCUUUCGCCAGGGAUGAUAAUGACAGUACCUGGUAAAGAAACCCCGGCUAACUCCGUGCCAGCAGCCGCGGUAAUACGGAGGGGGUUAGCGUUGUUCGGAAUUACUGGGCGUAAAGCGCGCGUAUGCG